GACGGGGGAUGCGAGCGUUAUCCGGAGUGAUUGGGCGUAAAGGGUCCGCAGGUGGCCCGGUCAGUCCGCUGUCAAAGCCUGGGGCUCAACCCUGGAGAGGCGGCGGAGACCACCGGGCUUGAGUCCGGUAGGGGCAGAGGGAAUUCCCGGUGGAGCGGUGAAAUGCGUAGAGAUCGGGAAGAACGCCAAGGGCGAAGGCACUCUGCUAGGCCUGAUUUCGCGACUGACACUCAGGGACGAGAGCCAGGGGAGCGAAUGGG
rnacentral:rRNA from 1 species